rnacentral:rRNA from 1 species
GCGCGAAAACUUUGCAAUUCGAGAAAUCGUGACAAGGGAACUCCGAGUGCCCGUAAAUUCGGGCUGUCCAUCAGUUUAAAAAACUGGUGAAGAAAGGGCCGGGCAAGACCGGUGCCAGCCGCCGCGGUAAUACCGGCGGCUCGAGUGGUGGCCACUAUUACUGGGCUUUAAAGCGUCCGUAGCUGGUCUGUUAAGUCUCUGGGGAAAUCUACCGGCUUAAACCGGUAGGCGUCUCAGGGAUACUGGCAGACUAGGGACCGGGAGAGGUGAGAGGUACUCCAGGGGUAGGAGUGAAAUCCUGUAAUCCUUGGGGGACCACCUGUGGCGAAGGCGUCUCACCAGAACGGCUCCGACAGUGAGGGACGAAAGCUGGGGGAGCAAACCGGAUUAGAUACCCGGGUAGUCCCAGCUGUAAACGAUGCGCGUUAGGUGUAUCGGUGACCACGAGUCACCGAGGUGCCGAAGAGAAAUCGUGAAACGUGACCGCCUGGGAAUACGGGUCGCAAGGCUAGAAACUUAAAGGAAUUGGCGGGGGAGCGACCACAACGGGUGGAGCCGUGUAC